AGAGUUUGAUCCUGGCUCAGAACGAACGCUGGCGGCAUGCCUAACACAUGCAAGUCGAACGAGACCUUCGGGUCUAGUGGCGCACGGGUGCGUAACGCGUGGGAAUCUGCCCUCUGGUACGGAAUAACUCAGGGAAACUUGAGCUAAUACCGUAUAAUGACUUCGGUCCAAAGAUUUAUCGCCUGAGGAUGAGCCCGCGUAGGAUUAGCUUGUUGGUGAGGUAAAAGCUCACCAAGGCGACGAUCCUUAGCUGGUCUGAGAGGAUGAUCAGCCACACUGGGACUGAGACACGGCCCAGACUCCUACGGGAGGCAGCAGUGGGGAAUAUUGGACAAUGGGCGAAAGCCUGAUCCAGCAAUGCCGCGUGAGUGAUGAAGGCCCUAGGGUUGUAAAGCUCUUUUACCCGGGAUGAUAAUGACAGACCGGGAGAAUAAGCCCC
rnacentral:rRNA from 1 species